rnacentral:rRNA from 1 species
CCUACGGGAGGCAGCAGUGGGGAAUUUUGGACAAUGGGCGCAAGCCUGAUCCAGCAAUGCCGCGUGCAGGAUGAAGGCCUUCGGGUUGUAAACUGCUUUUGUACGGAGCGAAACGGUCUACUCUAAUACAGUGGGCUAAUGACGGUACCGUAAGAAUAAGCACCGGCUAACUACGUGCCAGCAGCCGCGGUAAUACGUAGGGUGCGAGCGUUAAUCGGAAUUACUGGGCGUAAAGCGUGCGCAGGCGGUUAUAUAAGACAGAUGUGAAAUCCCCGGGCUCAACCUGGGACCUGCAUUUGUGACUGUAUAGCUAGAGUGCGGCAGAGGGGGAUGGAAUUCCGCGUGUAGCAGUGAAAUGCGUAGAUAUGCGGAGGAACACCGAUGGCGAAGGCAAUCCCCUGGGCCUGCACUGACGCUCAUGCACGAAAGCGUGGGGAGCAAACAGGAUUAGAUACCCUGGUAGUCCACGCCCUAAACGAUGUCAACUGGUUGUGGGUCUUCACUGACUCAGUAACGAAGCUAACGCGUGAAGUUGACCGCCUGGGGAGUACGGCCGCGAAGGUUGAAACGUCAAAGGAUUGACGGNGNGAGAGNGCGAGGACGACGACGAGGGAGGAGG